AUUGAACGCUGGCGGCAGGCCUAACACAUGCAAGUCGAACGGAGCGGCGGACGGGUGAGUAAUGACUAGGAAUGUGCCUGGUAGUGGGGGAGAACGUCGGGAAACGGGCGGGAAUAACGCAGACUAGCAGAAGAGCGUAGGGGGGAUUAGCUAGUUGGUGGGGUAAAGGCCUACCAAGGUGACGAUCCGUAACUGGGCGGAGAGGAUGAUCAGGCAACCUGGAACUGAGACACGGUCCAGACUCCUACGCGAGGCAGCAGUGGGGAAUAUUGGACAAUGGGCGAAAGCCUGAUCCAGCCAUGCCGCGUCUGUGAAGAAGGUCUUCGGAUUGUAAAGCACUUUAAGUUGGGAGGCGUUACCAACAGAAUAAGCACCGGCUAACUUCGUGCCAGCAGCCGCGGUAAUAC
rnacentral:rRNA from 1 species